GAUGAAGAACGCAGCGAAAUGCGAUAAGUAAUGUGAAUUGCAGAAUUCAGUGAAUCAUCGAAUCUUUGAACGCACCUUGCGCCCUUUGGCUAUUCCGAAGGGCAUGCCUGUCUGAGCGUCAUUUCAACCCUCAUGCCCCUAGGGCGUGGUGUUGGGGAUCGGCCAAAGCCCGCGAGGGACGGCCGGCCCCUAAAUCUAGUGGCGGACCCGUCGUGGCCUCCUCUGCGAAGUAGUGAUAUUCCGCAUCGGAGAGCGACGAGCCCCUGCCGUUAAACCCCCAACUUUCCAAGGUUGACCUCAGAUCAGGUAGGAAUACCCGCUGAACUUAAGCAUAUCAAUAAGCGGAGGA
rnacentral:misc_RNA from 1 species